AAGGGGACAUAUUAUGCUCCUUUUCAACAAGUUUGAAUAAGUCUCAGAGGUCCCCAAAGCAUGUAUUUGAAGCUUUUUGCUAAAAAAUCCACUCCGAUCCUAUAUUUCAGCAUGCCUGUAAACCCCUCUUUUUGAGCCCUGUUCAGAACAGGCUGUUUCUGUGUCUGUAGCUUUAAAUGCAAUGAGCUGUGCCUGACCACGCCCCUCUCCGGAAGGGGAUGCCGUUCGGGCUUCUGGCACCGUGCUCUAAUGUUUACGGUGACCGUGACCGGCAACCUGGCGUCGGUAGCGAUUUGGUUCAACCACACAACUUUUAUCCAGAAUCUGAGCCAGAGGGAGAGGCUGCUGAAGAAGUUCAAACUCUACAACUGCAGCAGGACGUUUCUGAAUGGUGCUCCUGUGGAAACUGUGCAACCAUGCCCACAGAAGCUGAGAACAUCUGCUGCUAGGAGAUACCACAGGUUACCAGAUGGCUAUGGGAGAUCGUGGAAGAUUUACCAUGUAUAGUAGACCGUCCUGGGUUGGAGCCGCUCUGCCUCAUUGUGUUCUGCCUGCAACAUGUACCGCACUGACUAUGGUCCUUUACGGUUGAGAGGAAUACACCAGUAUGUUUUGCUUCUUUGUUAAAACAUAGUUUCAAUCUAAAUAAAAGAUGUUAGACAGUCUUGUUUUACUUCAG